GAAAUAUUUCGAAUAAUCGAAGUGAAUAGCAUAGUUUACUGUUAAAUUAUUUUGUUCUAGGAUCGAGCUUGCUUUGAAAGGCCUAGGAAAUUGCUUGCUUAUUUGUAUCAUGUGGGUGGAGAACCAACGUGUCCGGAUGGCCGUAAAGCUAGAAAAGCCGCCAUUGUAUGUAAUCUACAUUGGCUUUUUUUGUGACUGCCAAUAUAGUUUCCGCCGUAAUAAACUGAUUUUGUUGUAGUGAUA